rnacentral:rRNA from 1 species
CCUACGGGAGGCAGCAGUGAGGAAUAUUGGUCAAUGGACGGGAGACUGAACCAGCCAAGCCGCGUGAAGGAUGACGGCUCUACGAGUUGUAAACUUCUUUUGUACAGGAGUAAAGUUGAGCACGUGUACCCAGCUGAAAGUACUGUACGAAUAAGGAUCGGCUAACUCCGUGCCAGCAGCCGCGGUAAUACGGAGGAUCCGAGCGUUAUCCGGAUUUAUUGGGGUUAAAGGGUGCGUAGGCGGGUUGUUAAGUUAGAGGGGAAAGGUACGGGCUUAACACGGGAACUGCCAUUGAUACUGGUAGUCUCGAGUGGAGGUGAGGUAGGCGGAAUGCGUGGUGUAGCGGUGAAAUGCUUAGAGAUCACGCAGAACACCGAUUGCGAAGGCAGCUUACCAAACUGUCACUGACGUUGAGGCACGAAAGCGUGGGUAUCAAACAGGAUUAGAUACCCCAGUAGUC